GAUAACAUCCCUGUUGGACUGAAACCAGAUCGUGAGACAGAAGACACACCUGAGAGCUAUGAUGAUGUCAUGACGAGCGGACAGAACUCUGAUAUCAAAAAAGUGAACACGCAAGAGAAUUAUGAUGAUGUCAUCAUUAAUAGACCGAGCUCU